rnacentral:rRNA from 1 species
AUUGAACGCUGGCGGCAGGCCUAACACAUGCAAGUCGAACGGUAGCACAGAGAGCUUGCUCUCGGGUGACGAGUGGCGGACGGGUGAGUAAUGUCUGGGAAACUGCCUGAUGGAGGGGGAUAACUACUGGAAACGGUAGCUAAUACCGCAUAACGUCGCAAGACCAAAGAGGGGGACCUUCGGGCCUCUUGCCAUCAGAUGUGCCCAGAUGGGAUUAGCUAGUAGGUGGGGUAACGGCUCACCUAGGCGACGAUCCCUAGCUGGUCUGAGAGGAUGACCAGCCACACUGGAACUGAGACACGGUCCAGACUCCUACGGGAGGCAGCAGUGGGGAAUAUUGCACAAUGGGCGCAAGCCUGAUGCAGCCAUGCCGCGUGUAUGAAGAAGGCCUUCGGGUUGUAAAGUACUUUCAGCAGGGAGGAAGGUGUUGUGGUUAAUAACCGCAGCAAUGACGUACC